UGUUGGGAUACUACCCUUGUUUGAAGGAUGCUCUAACCUCGACCUGUAAGCCAGGCCAGGGACAGUGUCAGGUGGGCAGUUUGACUGGGGCGGUCGCCUCCUAAAGUGUAACGGAGGCGCUCAAAGGGUCCCUCAGAAUGGUUGGAAAUCAUUCGCAGAGUGUAAAGGUAUAAGGGAGCUUGACUGCGAGAGAGACAACUCGAGCAGGUAGGAAACUAGGACUUAGUGAUCUGG
rnacentral:rRNA from 1 species